UACCUGCAGCUCAAGUGGUGGCCGCUAUUAUUGGGCCUAAAACGUCCGUAGCCGGUUUAUUAAAUGCCUAGGUAAAUUGUGUGGCUUAACCAUACGAAUUCUGGGUAGACUGGUAAACUUGAAACCGGGAGAAGCUAGAGGUACUUCUGGGGUAGAGGUGAAAUUCUGUAAUCCUAGGGGGACCACCAGUGGCGAAGGCGUCUAGCUAGAACGGGUUUGACGGUGAGGGACGAAGCCCUGGGGCGCAAACGGGAUUAGAUACCCCGGUAGUCCAGGGUGUAAACGCUGCUUGCUUGAUGUUGGUUGGGCUCCGAGCCCAAUCAGUGUCGGAGAGAAGUUGUUAAGCAAGCCGCCUGGGAAUUACGGUCGCAAGACUGAAACUUAAAGGAAUUGGCGGGGAGCACCGCAACGGGAGGAGCGUGCGGUUU
rnacentral:rRNA from 1 species